rnacentral:rRNA from 1 species
GAUCAUUAAUGAAUUAUAGGGCUUCUUUUUAGAAGUUCCGCCAUUUCAUUUUCCAACCCUGUGCACACACUAUUCUUUUUUACACCUUUUUAACUCGUAUUAGUUGAAGAAUGUAAUCAGUCUCUUAAUUGAGCAUAAAAUAUAGUCAAAACUUUCGGCAACGGAUCUCUUGGCUCUCGCAUCGAUGAAGAACGCAGCGAAAUGCGAUACGUAAUGUGAAUUGCAGAAUUCAGUGAAUCAUCGAAUCUUUGAACGCACCUUGCACUCUUUGGUAUUCCGAAGAGUAUGUCUGUUUGAGUGUCGUGAAUCUCUCAACCCCCCUAUUUUGUAAUGAGAUAGGUUUGUGGGCUUGGAUUAUGGCUGUCUGCUGGCUAGUAAUAGCCGGCUCAGCUGAAAUACACGAGUUACCCUUGCUAUUCAUAACCUUUGAACGGCUUGACUCGGCGUAAUAACUAUUUCGCUGAGGACGUUUAAAAAUGUUGCAAUAGCUUAUAGUGGUGCUUCUAAUGCCAUUACAAUUUUGUGUUAGACCUCAAAUCAGAUAGGACU